UACGUAGGGGGCAAGCGUUGUCCGGAUUUAUUGGGCGUAAAGAGCGUGUAGGCGGCCAGACAGGUCCGUUGUGAAAACUCGAGGCUCAACCUCGAGAUGUCGAUGGAAACCGUCUGGCUAGAGUCCGGAAGAGGAGUGUGGAAUUCCUGGUGUAGCGGUGAAAUGCGCAGAUAUCAGGAAGAACACCGAUAGCGAAGGCAGCUUACUAGACUGUAACUGACGCUGAGGCACGAAAGUGUGGGGAUCAAACAGG
rnacentral:rRNA from 1 species